UGGGAUGUAGCUCAGUGGUACAGCACUUACCUAGCAAGCAUGAGGUCCUAGGUUCAAUCCCCAGUCUCUUAA
rnacentral:tRNA from 1 species